GUAGGUGGCAAGCGUUGUCCGGAAUUAUUGGGCGUAAAGCGCGCGCAGGCGGUUCUUUAAGUCUGAUGUGAAAGCCCACGGCUCAACCGUGGAGGGUCAUUGGAAACUGGAGAACUUGAGUACAGAAGAGGAAAGCGGAAUUCCACGUGUAGCGGUGAAAUGCGUAGAGAUGUGGAGGAACACCAGUGGCGAAGGCGGCUUUCUGGUCUGUAACUGACGCUGAGGCGCGAAAGCGUGGGGAGCAAACAGGGAUUAGAUACCCUGGUAGUCCACGCCGUAGACGAUGAGUGCUAAGUGUUAGGGGGUUUCCGCCCCCCUUAGUGCUGCAGCUAACGCAUUAAGCGCUCCGCCCUGGGAGUACGGCCGCAAGGCUG
rnacentral:rRNA from 1 species